AUGAUUUCGAUGAAGGCGAUAUCUCUUUUGGUAAUCCCUUUGUACACAUUGAAUGGAGCUGAAUCAAUAACAGAGAACAGAAAAAAAGUACACAAGCAGGCGACAUCACUCGCAGAACAGAGUACCAAAGAGGAAAACAACGAAGCGAUUAGAUCAGCCUGGUUUACAUUACUCAGAAAACCAAGGUACGAAAAUGCAGAGAGGGUUGAAACUUAUUUGAGCGGAACAGGGCAGGAAAAUGCGGACGACGUUGGAAAGAAAAUGAUAGAGGAGAACGAAAAAGAGAUUAUUCCGAGGCAAAUACUCGUUGAAACAUCUGGAUUGAAGAAACUACAUUUGGAUACGCGUGGAUUUAGGGCGCCAGAUUUACAUGACCGAAGACAAAAGACCUUGUUACAAGAAGAUAAAUAUGAUUAUGACGCGCCCGACACCAGACGCUACCCCGAUGACAGAGGCAUGACUUUCUACUCCGGUCGCACGACAUCCAGAUAUUUUCCCGAUUUCGAACAGGAUCGUUGAAGUGUUCGAAGAAUUCAUUCGUGUAAAAACUCAUGCAGUUUCAAGAACUGUAGAAAAAUAAAUAGAGUGUUAAAUUUAUAAAUAGAAGCCGGAGUUUAUUAAAUUGAUUUGACUCUAAAACUCAAAAGAAGAAACCAAAUUCUAACAUAAAUGUACCUAAUUAAUUUAUUGGAAUAAUAAUAAAAACCUCCUGGUUAUUUAUGUUCUUUCACCGAGAGUACACUACCUGUUAUUCCAUGGAUUUGCUACGUGCGCGAGCUUUGCUACGGAAUUUUCUUUUAUGUGUUGAUGGGUGGUAUACAAGGUUUAAUUUAAUUUUAGGCAUUGCCCUCGUGUUAUCUUAUGUCUGUCCAUCACAUCUUUAUCCCCAUU
rnacentral:lncRNA from 1 species